GCCGCCUAAGGUGGGACAGAUGAUUGGGGUGAAGUCGUAACAAGGUAGCCGUAUCGGAAGGUGCGGCUGGAUCACCUCCUUUCUAAGGAA
rnacentral:rRNA from 1 species